rnacentral:rRNA from 1 species
UACAGAGGGGGCAAGCGUUGUUCGGAAUUACUGGGCGUAAAGGGCGCGUAGGCGGCCUGCUAAGUCGAACGUGAAAUCCCCGAGCUCAACUCGGGAACUGCGUCCGAUACUGGCAGGCUUGAAUCCGGGAGAGGGAUGCGGAAUUCCAGGUGUAGCGGUGAAAUGCGUAGAUAUCUGGAGGAACACCGGUGGCGAAGGCGGCAUCCUGGACCGGUAUUGACGCUGAGGAGCGAAAGCCAGGGGAGCAAACGGG